rnacentral:rRNA from 1 species
UCCUGGCUCAGAUUGAACGCUGGCGGCAGGCCUAACACAUGCAAGUCGAGCGGAAACGAGUUCUCUGAACCUUCGGGGAACGAUAACGGCGUCGAGCGGCGGACGGGUGAGUAAUGCCUAGGAAAUUGCCCUGAUGUGGGGGAUAACCAUUGGAAACGAUGGCUAAUACCGCAUGAUGCCUACGGGCCAAAGAGGGGGACCUUCGGGCCUCUCGCGUCAGGAUAUGCCUAGGUGGGAUUAGCUAGUUGGUGAGGUAAGGGCUCACCAAGGCGACGAUCCCUAGCUGGUCUGAGAGGAUGAUCAGCCACACUGGAACUGAGACACGGUCCAGACUCCUACGGGAGGCAGCAGUGGGGAAUAUUGCACAAUGGGCGCUAGCCUGAUGCAGCCAUGCCGCGUGUGUGAAGAAGGCCUUCGGGUUGUAAAGCACUUUCAGUCGUGAGGAAGGUAGUGUAGUUAAUAGCUGCAUUAUUUGACGUUAGCGACAGAAGAAGCACCGGCUAACUCCGUGCCAGCAGCCGCGGUAAUACGGAGGGUGCGAGCGUUAAUCGGAAUUACUGGGCGUAAAGCGCAUGCAGGUGGUUUGUUAAGUCAGAUGUGAAAGCCCGGGGCUCAACCUCGGAAUUGCAUUUGAAACUGGCAGACUAGAGUACUGUAGAGGGGGGUAGAAUUUCAGGUGUAGCGGUGAAAUGCGUAGAGAUCUGAAGGAAUACCGGUGGCGAAGGCGGCCCCCUGGACAGAUACUGACACUCAGAUGCGAAAGCGUGGGGAGCAAACAGGAUUAGAUACCCUGGUAGUCCACGCCGUAUACGAUGUCUACUUGGAGGUUGUGGCCUUGAGCCGUGGCUUUCGGAGCUAACGCGUUAAGUAGACCGCCUGGGGAGUACGGUCGCAAGAUUAAAACUCAAAUGAAUUGACGGGGGCCCGCACAAGCGGUGGAGCAUGUGGUUUAAUUCGAUGCAACGCGAAGAACCUUACCUACUCUUGACAUCCAGAGAACUUUCCAGAGAUGGAUUGGUGCCUUCGGGAACUCUGAGACAGGUGCUGCAUGGCUGUCGUCAGCUCGUGUUGUGAAAUGUUGGGUUAAGUCCCGCAACGAGCGCAACCCUUAUCCUUGUUUGCCAGCGAGUAAUGUCGGGAACUCCAGGGAGACUGCCGGUGAUAAACCGGAGGAAGGUGGGGACGACGUCAAGUCAUCAUGGCCCUUACGAGUAGGGCUACACACGUGCUACAAUGGCGCAUACAGAGGGCUGCCAACUUGCGAAAGUGAGCGAAUCCCAAAAAGUGCGUCGUAGUCCGGAUUGGAGUCUGCAACUCGACUCCAUGAAGUCGGAAUCGCUAGUAAUCGUGGAUCAGAAUGCCACGGUGAAUACGUUCCCGGGCCUUGUACACACCGCCCGUCACACCAUGGGAGUGGGCUGCAAAAGAAGUAGGUAGUUUAAC